UUCCCAUCCAGAUGUGGAAGAAAAGAAGAAACACCUUUGAGGUGUCACCCACCCUAGCUGAAGGACAGAACUCCUAGAAAAGGGUGGAGCCAAAAGCCGGAAGGAGUCUGGAUCCUUGAAUGACUGUCCCUCUCCCCACUGAACUGCAAUGCACCAUGGGAUGAACACCUGUUUCUCCUUGUCUUCCAAUUGACAAUAGUAACCAUCUCAACCAAAAGUUGAAGAGAGACAGAAGUAAAAAGAGAAAGGAGUAGCUAAAAGCAGA